rnacentral:ncRNA from 1 species
UGUCUCCUCCACCCUCCUCCUUUGGUGUGGAUUUAGCGCGACUCAAUGAGUCGCGCUUUUUUUA